rnacentral:lncRNA from 1 species
AGGGAGCACAAGACGUGUCGGCCACCAUGGAUUUUGCAUCGGAGCUCUGUGCCCCUUGCUCUGUUUCGCGCCCCGCCUUGAGCCUCCUCUGCUUCGUCAAGUUCCGCGCCAAGCCUUCUCCUCUCCUUCUCUUUCUUUUCCUCUACUUCUGAACUUCUCUGAAGUUCUCUUCGUUUCUCUAAACAGGAAGCGGCCAUGGUGACCCUCCAUCUCGAACUCCCGUGCCGCCAAGCCAUGGAAAUGGCCAGAUCCGGUCGGAUGUGGUCCAAUCCCGACGCCGGUCCUCAUCCACGCCCCUGCCUCGCUGACACCCAGCUCACCGGAGCCCCGUUGCCGCGCGGCCAGCCUUCUGCGUCGCCAUGGCUUGCUGUUGCCUCUGGUGGUA